AGCGCAGACGGUUAUUUAAGCAAGAUGUGAAAGCCCCGGGCUCAACCUGGGAACUGCGUUUUGAACUGGGUAACUAGAGUGUGUCAGAGGGGGGUAGAAUUCCACGUGUAGCAGUGAAAUGCGUAGAGAUGUGGAGGAAUACCGAUGGCGAAGGCAGCCCCCUGGGAUAACACUGACGCUCAUGCUCGAAAGCGUGGGUAGCAAACA
rnacentral:rRNA from 1 species